CCUACGGGAGGCUGCAGUGGGGAAUCUUGGACAAUGGGCGCAAGCCUGAUCCAGCGACGCCGCGUGACUGAUGAAGCCUUUCGGGGUGUAAAAGUCUUUCGGCAGGGACAAUGAUGAUGGUACCUGCAGAAGCAGCUGCGGCUAACUACGUGCCAGCAGCCGCGGUAAUACGUAGGCAGCUAGCGUUGUUCGGAAUUACUGGGCGUAAAGCGAGUGUAGGCGGUUUGCCAAGUCCUGUGUGAAAUCUCCCGGCUCAACUGGGAGGGUGCGCCGGAAACUGGCAGGCUAGAGUGCGGAAUGGGAGAGUGGAAUUCCUGGUGUAGCGGUGAAAUGCGUAGAUAUCAGGAGGAACACCGGUGGUGAAGACGGCUCUCUGGACCGCAACUGACGCUGAGACUCGAAAGCGUGGGGAGCAAACAGGAUUAGAUACCCUAGUAGUC
rnacentral:rRNA from 1 species